rnacentral:misc_RNA from 1 species
GAUGAAGAACGUAGCGAAAUGCGAUACGUAGUGUGAAUUGCAGAAUUCAGUGAAUCAUCGAAUCUUUGAACGCACAUUGCACCUCUCGGUAUUCCGGGAGGUAUGCCUGUUCGAGCGUCAUUUGUACCCUCAAGCUCUGCUUGGUGUUGGGUGUUUGUUCCGCCUCUGUGUGUGAACUCGCCUCAAAGCAAUUGGCAGCCGGCGUACUUGUUUCGGAGCGCAGCACAUUUUGCGAUCCAGAUCAACGUACAGCGGCAUCCAAGAAGCCUUAUUUAACGCUCUUGACCUCGGAUCAGGUAGGGAUACCCGCUGAACUUAAGCAUAUCAAUAAGCGGAGGA